AUUGAACGCUGGCGGCAUGCCUUACACAUGCAAGUCGAACGGUAACGGGCCUUCGGGUGCCGACGAGUGGCGCACGGGUGAGUAAUACAUCGGAACGUGCCCGAUCGUGGGGGAUAACGAGGCGAAAGCUUUGCUAAUACCGCAUACGAUCUACGGAUGAAAGCAGGGGACCGCAAGGCCUUGCGCGGACGGAGCGGCCGAUGGCAGAUUAGGUAGUUGGUGGGAUAAAAGCUUACCAAGCCGACGAUCUGUAGCUGGUCUGAGAGGAUGAUCGGCCACACUGGGACUGAGACACGGCCCAGACUCCUACGGGAGGCAGCAGUGGGGAAUUUUGGACAAUGGGCGCAAGCCUGAUCCAGCCAUGCCGCGUGCAGGAUGAAGGCCUUCGGGUUGUAAACUGCUUUUGUACGGAACGAAAAGCCUUCUUUUAAUACAGGAGGGUCAUGACGGUACCGUAAGAAUAAGCACCGGCUAACUACGUG
rnacentral:rRNA from 1 species